rnacentral:rRNA from 1 species
AUUGAACGCUGGCGGCAGGCUUAACACAUGCAAGUCGAGCGGGGGAAGGUAGCUUGCUACCGGACCUAGCGGCGGACGGGUGAGUAAUGCUUAGGAAUCUGCCUAUUAGUGGGGGACAACAUCUCGAAAGGGAUGCUAAUACCGCAUACGUCCUACGGGAGAAAGCAGGGGAUCUUCGGACCUUGCGCUAAUAGAUGAGCCUAAGUCGGAUUAGCUAGUUGGUGGGGUAAAGGCCUACCAAGGCGACGAUCUGUAGCGGGUCUGAGAGGAUGAGCCGCCACACGGGGACUGAGACAAGGCCCAGACUCCUACGGGAGGUAGCAGUGGGGAAUAUUGGACAAUGGGGGGAACCCUGAUCCAGCCAUGCCGCGUGUGUGAAGAAGGCCUUAUGGUUGUAAAGCACUUUAAGCGAGGAGGAGGCUACUCUAGUUAAUACCUAGGGAUAGUGGACGUUACUCGCAGAAUAAGCACCGGCUAACUCUGUGCCAGCAGCCGCGGUAA